rnacentral:rRNA from 1 species
UACGAAGGGGGCUAGCGUUGCUCGGAAUCACUGGGCGUAAAGGGUGCGUAGGCGGGUCUUUAAGUCAGGGGUGAAAUCCUGGAGCUCAACUCCAGAACUGCCUUUGAUACUGAGGAUCUUGAGUUCGGGAGAGGUGAGUGGAACUGCGAGUGUAGAGGUGAAAUUCGUAGAUAUCGCAAGAACACCAGUGGCGAAGGCGGACUCACUGGCCCGAGUACUGACGCUGAGGCACGAAAGCGUGGGGAGCAAACGGG